rnacentral:lncRNA from 1 species
CUCACGCCUGUAAUUCCAACACUUCGGGAGGCCGAGGUAGGAGGAUUGUUUAAGGCCAGGAGUUUGAGAAUAGCCUGGACAACAUAGCAAGACCCCAUCUCUACACAUUUUUUUUUGUUCAGAGAUGGAGUCUCAGUCUUGUUGCCCAGGCUGGAGUGCAGUGGUGUGAUCUCGGCUCACUGCAACCUCCGCCUCCUGGGUUCAAGCAAUUCUGCCUCAGCCUCCCCAGUAGCUGGGAUUACAGGCGCCCACCAUCAUGCCUGGCUAAUUUUUGUAUUUUUAGUAGAGACAGAAUCUCACCAGUUUGGCCAGGCUGGUCUCAAACUCCUAACCUCAGGUGAUCCACCUGCCGUAUCUCUUUUGUUUUUAAUUAGCUGGGCAUGGUGGUAUGCACCUGAAGUCCCAGCUACUUGGGAGGCUGAGGUGGGAGGAUUGCUUGAGCCCAGGAGUUCGAGGCUGCAGUGAGCCGUGAUCACACCACCGCACUCCAGCCUGGGUGACAGAGAGAGACCCUAUGUCAAAACAACGCAUUGAGUGCUUGGAGUUCUCUGCAUUCUUGGCAGCACCUCAAAUCUGUGCUAGCACCUCAAAUCUGUGCUAGAGAAGACCUGUAGCCCUAACUUCUGAAGAACUUUUUCUUUUUGCUUCUCUUAGCACCAAGUGUCUUUCGUGUGGAGGGAGCAGGGCUAAUUCCGUUUCAUUCUUACCCUAAGAGUGUAGACCUUUAGGUUUUCAGCUUAAGGUGGGAAGGGUUUUCUAUAAUGCUCCCCAUUUUGGGCAGGACUGGCCCUUGACUUCUGUCCCCCUGACCCCUCAAGGCCACAGAAUGAGAACCCAAGUUUGCUGGUUUUGGCAAAUGCCCUCCAACAAAAGGGCACCUCCCGGGUGGCACAGCCGUGGGCUGGUGCGCCCCACCAGGGUGCAGCAGUGACAUCAGCCCCGCCUCGGGGCACAUGUCCCUUCCUGGUGACAGCAGGCUAGGUGCCUGGACCAGCCGUUUCCCUGAAGACGAUGAAACACGCUGGGUGAAAUAUCCAAAGGCCAGGAACACUGAACAGCUGACAAGAUAGCAGGUAAUUAAAUGCCAGGCCUCGUGCUGGAGGAAAACUGGACUCAGAUACAAGGCCCUCCCACAGGGAUCUGGAGAGCCUGGCUCUCAGCUCUGGCCUGGGGGAACUCAGAGAGGGAGGGGCUCUGCGGAUCAGCUGCCCCUAGGCAGUAACACUGAACCGCAGUACCCAGUGAAAAGAGACUGCAGGGCCCAGCGUGGUGGCUCACGCCUGUAAUCUCAGCACUUUGGGAGGCCGAGGUGGGCGGAUCUCUCGAGCUCAGGAGUUCAAGACCAGCCUGGCUAACACGGUGAGACCCCGUCCACUAAAAAUACAAAAAUUAGCUAGGCAUGGUGGUGGGCACCUGUAAUCACAGCUACUCAGGAGGCUGAGGCAGGAGAAUCACUUGAAUCCGGGAGGCAAAGGUUGCAGUGAGCCAAAAUCACACCACUGCACUCUAUCCUGGGCAACAGAGUGAGACUCUGUCUCAAAAAAAAAAAAAAAGGAGCGAGCCGGGGCGCAGUGGCUCACGCCUGUAAUCCCAGCAUUUUGAGAGGCCGAGGCGGGUGGAUCACUUGAGGUCAGGAGUUCAGGACCAGCCUGGCCAACAUGGUGAGACCUUGUCUACUAAAAAUACAAAAAUUAGCUGGGCAUGGUGGCAGGUGCCUGUCAUCCCAGCUACUCAGGAGGCUGAGGUAGGAGAAUCGCUUGAACCCGGGAGGCAGAGGUUGCAGUGAGCCAAGAUUGUGCCACUGCACUCCAGCCUGGGUGACAGAAUGAGACUCUGUCUCAAAAAACAAACAAACAGAGACUAGAAACUCACACCAAUCAUUACCUCGUAAGUGCAGUUAGCUCAGGAAGUACAAUAUUUCCAAAAAGGGGAGAGGUUGCAAUUAGCCAAGACUGUGCCAUUGCACUCCAGCCUGGGCAACAAGAACGAAACUCCGAGGAAAACCUCUGACACACAGCCUCUCCCUCUCCCUCUCCCUCUCCCUCUCCCUCCCCCUCCCCCUCCCCCUCCCCCUCUCCCUCUCCCUCUCCGUCUCCCUCUCUCUCCACGGUCUCCUUCCACGGUCUCCCUCUGAUGCCAAGCCAAAGCUGGACGGUACUGCUGCCAUCUCGGCUCACUGCAACCUCCCUGCCUGAUUCUCCUGCCUCAGCCUGCCGAGUGCCUGUGAUUGCAGGCGCGCGCCGCCACGCCUGACUGGUUUUCGUUUUUUUUUUUGGUGGAGACGGGGUUUUGCUGUGUUGGCCGGGCUGGUCUCCAGCUCCUAACCGCGAGUGAUCCGCCAGCCUCGGCCUCCCGAGGUGCUGGGAUUGCAGACGGAGUCUCGUUCACUCAGUGCUCAAUGGUGCCCAGGCUGGAGUGCAGCGGCGUGAUCUCGGCUCGCUACAACCUCCACCUCCCAGCUGCCCGCCUUGGCCCCCCAAAGUGCCAAGAUUGCAGCCUCUGCCCAGCCGCCACCCCAUGUGGGAAGUGAGGAGCGUCUCUGCCUGGCCCCCCAUCGUCUGGGAUAUGAGGAGCCUCUCUGCCUGGCUGCCCAGUCUGGAAAGUGAGGAGCGUCUCUGCCCGGCCGCCAUCCCAUCUAGGAAGUGAGGAGCGCCUCUUCCCGGCCGCCAUCCCAUCUAGGAAGCGAGGAGCGCCUCUUCCCCGCCGCCCAUCGUCUGAGAUGUGGGGAGCGCCUCUGCCCCGCCGCCCUGUCUGGGAUGUGAGGAGCGCCUCUGCUGGGCCGCAACCCUGUCUGGGAGGUGAGGAGCGUCUCUGCCCGGCCGCCCCGUCUGAGAAGUGAGGAAACCCUCUGCCUGGCAACCGCCCCGUCUGAGAAGUGAGGAGCCCCUCCGCCCGGCAGCUGCCCCGUCUGGGAAGUGAGGAGCGUCUCCGCCCGGCAGCCGCCCCGUCCGGGAGGGAGGUGGGGGGGGGUCAGCCCCCCGCCGGGCCAGCCGCCCCGUCCGGGAGGUGAGGGGCUCCUCUGCCCGGCCGCCCCUACUGGGAAGUGAGGAGCCCUCUGCCCGGCCAGCCGCCCCGUCCGGGAGGGAGGUGGGGGGUCAGCCCCCCGCCCAGCCAGCCGCCCCGUCCGGGAGGGAGGUGGGGGGAUCAGCCCCCCGCCUGGCCAGCCGCCCCAUCCGGGAGGUGAGGGGCGCCUCUGCCCGGCCGCCCCUACUGGGAAGUGAGGAGCCCCUCUGCCCGGCCAGCCGCCCCGUCCGGGAGGUGAGGGGUGCUUCUGCCCGGCCGCCCCUACUGGGAAGUGAGGAGCCCCUCUGCCCGGCCACGACCCCGUCUGGGAGGUGUGCCCAGCGGCUCAUUGGGGAUGGGCCAUGAUGACAAUGGCGGUUUUGUGGAAUAGAAAGGCGGGAAGGGUGGGGAAAAAAUUGAGAAAUCGGAUGGUUGCCGGGUCUGUGUGGAUAGAAGUAGACAUGGGAGACUUUUCAUUUUGUUCUGUACUAAGAAAAAUUCUUCUGCCUUGGGAUCCUGUUGAUCUGUCACCUUAUCCCCAACCCCGUGCUCUCUGAAACAUGUGCUGUGUCCACUCAGGGUUAAAUGGAUUAAGGGCGGUGCAAGAUGUGCUUUGUUAAACAGAUGCUUGAAGGCAGCAUGCUCGUUAAGAGUCAUCACCACUCCCUAAUCUCAAGUACCCAGGGACACAAACACUGCGGAAGGCCGCAGGGACCUCUGCCUAGGAAAACCAGAGACCUUUGUUCACUUGUUUAUCUGCUGACCUUCCCUCCACUAUUGUCCUGUGACCCUGCCAAAUCCCCCUCUGCGAGAAACACCCAAGAAUGAUCAAUAAAAAAAAAAAAAAUAAAAAAAAAAA